CCUUCGGGUUGUAAAGCACUUUUGUCCGGAAAGAAAUCCUUGGCUCUAAUACAGUCGGGGGAUGACGGUACCGGAAGAAUAAGCACCGGCUAACUACGUGCCAGCAGCCGCGGUAAUACGUAGGGUGCAAGCGUUAAUCGGAAUUACUGGGCGUAAAGCGUGCGCAGGCGGUUUGCUAAGACCGAUGUGAAAUCCCCGGGCUCAACCUGGGAACUGCAUUGGUGACUGGCAGGCUAGAGUAUGGCAGAGGGGGGUAGAAUUCCACGUGUAGCAGUGAAAUGCGUAGAGAUGUGGAGGAAUACCGAUGGCGAAGGCAGCCCCCUGGGCCAAUACUGACGCUCAUGCACGAAAGCGUGGGGAGCAAACAGGAUUAGAUACCCUGGUAGUCCACGCCCUAAACGAUGUCAACUAGUUGUUGGGGAUUCAUUUCCUUAGUAACGUAGCUAACGCGUGAAGUUGACCGCCUGGGGAGUACGGUCGCAAGAUUAAAACUCAA
rnacentral:rRNA from 1 species